AGGGUUAUAUGAUCAAGUAAUUAAGAGCACAAAGGGGAUGCUUUGGGGA
rnacentral:rRNA from 1 species